rnacentral:rRNA from 1 species
AGAACGAACGCUGGCGGCAGGCUUAACACAUGCAAGUCGAACGGUUGUAGCAAUACAGCAGUGGCGCACGGGUGAGUAACGCGUGGGAACAUACCUUUCAGUUCGGAAUAACAGCGGGAAACUGCUGCUAAUACCGGAUAUUCUCCUCGGAGGAAAGAUUUAUCGCUGAAAGAUUGGCCCGCGUCAGAUUAGCUAGUUGGUGAGGUAAUGGCUCACCAAGGCUCCGAUCUGUAGCUGGUCUGAGAGGACGACCAGCCACACUGGAACUGAGACACGGUCCAGACUCCUACGGGAGGCAGCAGUGGGGAAUAUUGGACAAUGGGCGAAAGCCUGAUCCAGCCAUGCCGCGUGAGUGAUGAAGGCCUUAGGGUUGUAAAGCUCUUUUGUCAGGGAAGAUAAUGACGGUACCUGAAGAAUAAGCACCGGCUAACUUCGUGCCAGCAGCCGC